rnacentral:rRNA from 1 species
UGGGGAAUAUUGGACAAUGGGCGCAAGCCUGAUCCAGCCAUGCCGCGUGAGUGAUGAAGGCCCUAGGGUUGUAAAGCUCUUUCACCGGUGAAGAUAAUGACGGUAACCGGAGAAGAAGCCCCGGCUAACUUCGUGCCAGCAGCCGCGGUAAUACGAAGGGGGCUAGCGUUGUUCGGAUUUACUGGGCGUAAAGCGCACGUAGGCGGACUUUUAAGUCAGGGGUGAAAUCCCGGGGCUCAACCCCGGAACUGCCUUUGAUACUGGAAGUCUUGAGUAUGGUAGAGGUGAGUGGAAUUCCGAGUGUAGAGGUGAAAUUCGUAGAUAUUCGGAGGAACACCAGUGGCGAAGGCGGCUCACUGGACCAUUACUGACGCUGAGGUGCGAAAGAGUGGGGAGCAAACAGG